GCAGUCGAACGAUGAUCCGGUGCUUGCACCGGGGAUUAGUGGCGAACGGGUGAGUAACACGUGAGUAACCUGCCCUUGACUCUGGGAUAAGCCUGGGAAACUGGGUCUAAUACCGGAUAUGACUCCUCAUCGCAUGGUGGGGGGUGGAAAGCUUUUGUGGUUUUGGAUGGACUCGCGGCCUAUCAGCUUGUUGGUGAGGUAAUGGCUCACCAAGGCGACGACGGGUAGCCGGCCUGAGAGGGUGACCGGCCACACUGGGACUGAGACACGGCCCAGACUCCUACGGGAGGCAGCAGUGGGGAAUAUUGCACAAUGGGCGCAAGCCUGAUGCAGCGACGCCGCGUGAGGGAUGACGGCCUUCGGGUUGUAAACCUCUUUCAGUAGGGAAGAAGCGAAAGUGACGGUACCUGCAGAAGAAGCGCCGGCUAACUACGUGCCAGCAGCCGCGGUAAUACGUAGGGCGCAAGCGUUAUCCGGAAUUAUUGGGCGUAAAGAGCUCGUAGGCGGUUUGUCGCGUCUGCCGUGAAAGUCCGGGGCUCAACUCCGGAUCUGCGGUGGGUACGGGCAGGCUAGAGUGAUGUAGGGGAGACUGGAAUUCCUGGUGUAGCGGUGAAAUGCGCAGAUAUCAGGAGGAACACCGAUGGCGAAGGCAGGUCUCUGGGCAUUAACUGACGCUGAGGAGCGAAAGCAUGGGGAGCGAACAGGAUUAGAUACCCUGGUAGUCCAUGCCGUAAACGUUGGGCACUAGGUG
rnacentral:rRNA from 1 species